rnacentral:rRNA from 1 species
UACGUAGGGGGCAAGCGUUGUCCGGAUUUAUUGGGCGUAAAGAGCGUGUAGGCGGCCAGGUAGGUCUGCUGUGAAAACUCGAGGCUUAACCUCGAGAGGUCGGCGGAAACCAUCUGGCUAGAGUCCGGAAGAGGAGAAUGGAAUUCCCGGUGUAGCGGUGAAAUGCGCAGAUAUCGGGAAGAACACCCGUGGCUAAGGCGGUUCUCUGGGACGGUACUGACGCUGAGACGCGAAAGCGUGGGUAGCAAACAGG